rnacentral:rRNA from 1 species
AACUUAAGCAUAUCAAUAAGCGGAGGAAAAGAAACCAACAGGGAUUGCCCUAGUAACGGCGAGUGAAGCGGCAACAGCUCAAAUUUGAAAUCUGGCUACUUUGUAGUCCGAGUUGUAAUUUGUAGAGGAUGCUUUUGGUGAAGUGCUUUCUGAGUUCCCUGGAACGGGACGCCAGAGAGGGUGAGAGCCCCGUACAGUUAGCAACUGAUCCUUUGUAUAGCUCCUUCGACGAGUCGAGUAGUUUGGGAAUGCUGCUCUAAAUGGGAGGUAUAUCUCUUCUAAAGCUAAAUAUAGGCUAGAGACCGAUAGCGCACAAGUAGAGUGAUCGAAAGAUGAAAAGCACUUUGAAAAGAGAGUUAAACAGCACGUGAAAUUGUUGAAAGGGAAGCGCCUAUGACCAGACUUGUCUCUAUCAGUUUUGGUAGUUUUCGGACUGCUUUACUCUGUUAGUACAGGCCAACAUCAGUUUGUUGUCGGGGAGAAAGGCUUAGGGAAUGUGGCUCCCUCGGGAGUGUUAUAGACCUUUGCAUAAUACCCUUCGGCAGACUGAGGACCGCGCUUCGGCAAGGAUGUUGGCGUAAUGGUCAUCA